rnacentral:lncRNA from 1 species
ACUUAUUAGAGCAGUGUAAGUCACAUUAUCUGGUUCCAGACCUUUAUCAAUCAUUUCACCAAGGAGGCAAAUAGCCUCUUGAAGGUUGUUUGAGUUGCAAUGAUUAUCGAUCAAAGCAGUGUAACAUUUAACAUUAGGAUUUAAUCCCAUCUCCUCCAUUUGUCUCCAAAAAGUCAAAGCACCAUCAAUUUCUCCCUUGUAUCCAUCUUCGCUAUAUAAUUCUAUAGCCUUUUCUAAGUUAAUUUUAGAAUGCCCAUUAAUUAAAACUGUGUAAGUGAUGACAUCAGGUUUGAUUCCCCUUCGCUUCAUAUCAUUAAAAAGAUCACAGGCCUGCUUCAAGCAAUUUAACCUGCAAUAACCAUUCAACAUGAUUGUGUAGGUAAUAACGUCAGGGGUUAAACCUCUCCAGACCAUAUUAUCAAAUACCCAUUGUGCGUCUCUCAUUUCUCCAGCAUGACAAAGCGCAGCAAUAAGUUUGCUGCACAUUAUCUGACAAGGGCCACGAUCUGAAACCAACAUAGUCUUAAAUAGCAUAAGAGCAUCGUCAAAUGCACCUUCUGUACAAAGGUUACUGAGAAGUGUUAGGCAAGAAUCCCUUUUAACUAAAAUUCCUUGCUUGGACAACCUAACAAAAAGCUCAUAUGCAUCUCUUGUCUUUUUUGCUUCACAGUACCCAUUUACCAUUGCAGAAUAAUUAUCUAGCCCCUUGUAUUCUAAACUGCCAAAAAACAAUUCAGCUUCCAUCACCUUUCCUCCCAUGCAUAAGCCUUGAAUGAUCAUGUUGUGUGUAACAGUGGUAGGUUCCAAACCCUGAGCUUUCAUAUAAUUUAAAAGAUCACGUGCCUCUCGUGCAAGUCCGUUUCUUGAAAACCCACCAGCAAGCACAUUGUAAGUAGCAAUAUCAGGUUUUAUGCCCUUUUUUGUCAUUUCCACAAAAAGAUCCAAGGCUUCAACUGGUUGUCCAUUAAAGAAGUAAUUACUGAUCAGAGUUGUGUAGUUAACAACAUCUGGGACCAUCUUCUUUUUCUUCAUCUCAUCAAACAACUUCAUGGCUUCUUCCAAGUUCCCUAGUUUGCACAAAGAAUCAAUCACAAUAUUAUAAACAAUCUCAUCUAGGAAAAUUCCCGUGUCCUUAAAGUUCAUGAAUUGGUGCACCACUUCCGAAGCCAAGCCCAUCCGGCACAAGCAUUGAAAAACUGAGCUGAGAAUAACACAAUUAGUCUUGAUACCCUUUGUAGACAUUUCAUCAUGAAUUGCCAGGGAUUUGAGAAUAUUCCCCACCUUACAAUACCCUUGAAUCAAGGCCCCGUAACAAUAUGCAUCAGGGGCAAUCCCUGCUUCCUCCAUAUCAAGCAAGACAUCCUCAGCUUCUUUCACCUUCAUGUCACAAACAAGCCCACGAAUUACAACAGAGUAUGCAAACACAUCAAUAGGGACCUUGGCUCUUCUCCACACCUGUAGCACCUCAUAUCCUAAAUCUGACCUUCCAUGCGAACAAAGACCUUCUAUAUAAAUUGAGUAAGUAAAAGCAUUAGGGGUCACACCAUCUUCCUCCAUCAACUGAAACAUACCAAGAGCAUCUUCCAAACUACCUUUUCGACAAAGAGCUUUAAUCACAAUCCCAUAUGUAUAGACAUUAGGGCUCAACCCAAGACUCUUCAAUUGUUGAUAAAUAUCCACAGGCAUAUCCACUUUGCCACACUCGAUCAUCCGAUUCAUAAGAAAAUUACAAGUCAAAAUGUUUGGUAAAAAUCCACGCCUUGUUGUUUUGAAUAAAGUAUCAGUGGCUUCAUCAAACCUCCCCAUAAUAGCAUAGACCUUAACCAAUGCAUCAAGUGCUCGAACCAAUGAAUUUGGCACCUCAGCUAUAAGCCCCUCCAGUAACGCAUCAAACAAAUCCGAAAUUCCAAAACCCAAAUGCUCAAUUUUUGACUCUAUAACCUCUAACAGAAAAGAAUCCAAUUUUCUAUCCAUACCCCAAUAGCAAAGUAUCCUAAUAAUAGCCAUAUAAGUGUGUAUGCUGUGUCUAUAUCCAUCUUCUUUCAAUUGGUGGAAAAAUGACAAUGCAAGACUGGGGUUUUCUCUGAGCGAGUUCAAGUGAAAAGUAACUUUAGAUGUAUCAUUUUGGUAUGCAUCAAUCACCUGAACAUAGAGAUGCUUGUUGGAGCGAAACACACACAACCUUGGUCUUUCUGGAGUCCCUUCAACCUAGGAAACAAGAAAUUGGUUGCAGAAUUAGUGGUAUUGCUUUGUCACUAGUCAUAGGAACACAUUUUUUCUCGACUUAAUUUCUCUUUGCUAUGUUGGUCAUGUGCAGCAAAUUGAUAUUUUUGGAUAACUACUGAGGGUUACUAGGAAGGGGAGAACCAACUUGUGCUAUUAUCCAUAUUAAGUACUAGCAAAGUAAAACAAUGCCCAUAUAGCUAGAAAUUUGGUAGAAUGAUACAGCUAUCUAUCAAGAAAGAAAACAGAUAAAACAAUGUACUAACAUUAGAUAUUGAGAUUUUGCUAAAAUAGACAAGCAGUCUGCCAAUGAUAUUGAAAAAAUAAUGAUGUCCAGUUCAAAGCUACUUGUUGAAUAUUUGGCUAACAAGUAUUGAGAUACUUGUUGAAUAUUUGGCAAAUCAUUUGAAUCUUAUAUUCAUUUUGUUUCCAGAUCAUCACCUGUCAGCAAGUUAGCCAUUUGGAAGGACUAAAACCUAUGUUCAAAACUAAGGUUUGUUAGAUACAUAGGAACCACCUGUUGUGUUAUCCUUAAACAACCAUGUUACAACUUUUAAUGACAUUUGAGAUGAAUAUGCACAUAUUAUAUGGAUCCACCCCUUAACAAGGAAAUCUGAUACCAUCAACCUUUAUGAGAUUCCAAGUAGAAACAGGGUAAGCUAACAGAUAAGAGUUCCUCAAAUACUCUCAAAUUUAACAUACAAGCAUAGCCCAUCCAGAUGCUGCACUUUUGGCAUAUGUAAUUUGAAAUGCAGAAUUCUAGUGCCAAAAAAUAGCAGUGCAAAUCAAAAUUAUUCCAGUUAGUAACUUCCCCAUAUCAAAUAAUAAAAAUAGGUGCACAUUAUUAUACCUUUUCAGUUCUUUUCCUGUGAUUAUAAAAACUCUUACAGAAUUCAUAAACACGACUAUAUUGCAUCAGUUUGGGGAAAGUAAGAUGAAGAAGAGAUAAUAAAAGACUAUAUUUUUUAAAAAUAAAACCUUUUUGGGGAGACGAGGAUGGCGAGCGAUUCGGUUGUCUUGCCUGGUUCUGGCCUUAGCUUCAACAAUUAGAGACUGGUAGUAUUUCGGCCUUAUGGACACCAAUUUGGGAUGGAGGAAGAAAAGCUGCUGCUGCUGCUGUUGGGAAUACGCCAAUGAAGCCCUUGGAAGAAUGGAUAGAGAAGCUAAAGAAGAAGACAUCCCUCAGUCCUCACUAAUGAAAACCUUGUCCGUCUCUUUCUUCCUUGCGCACCUUCUUUUUUCUUUUCCCUUUUUCUUUUUGAUUUAUAUUCUGUUAAAGAUAUUUUCGAAUUUUAACUUUAAAUAAUACAAUUAUAAAAAUUAUAAGUACUUAUUUGAAUAAUAUUACUAAUUACAAAAUUUAUUAUUUUUUAAAAAUUAAAUAAAUCAUAUGUUAAAAAUAUUUUAAAUUGAUUUUAAUUUUUUAAAAGUCAAACUUGAUCCUAGAACGGAAAAAUAUAAUAUAGUUCUUAUUUUUAUCAAAAUAAUUUAUUGAAAAACAUUUUUGUUAAAAUAAUGAGUUUUUUUAUAAGGGCGACUUUUUUUUUUUCUUGUGCAUGGAUAAUAGGAAAUCGUAUUACUAUAAAGGAAAUUAUUAAAUCCACAAUAGAAAUUAUUAUUUUCACAACAAAAGUGUCGCUAUAGAUUUUAUAGCGACGGUUAUUAACGUCGCUAUACAUCUACAACUACACUUUUGUUGUAAAAAUAACAAAAAGUGUUGUAGAUUUAACAAUUACCUACUAUAAAAUGUCAUCUAAAGUACUUUCUCAUAUAUUGGUAUUUUCGCUAUAAAAUAUUAAAAUGUCAUCUGAGGUAUAUUCUCAUACACUCAAUAUUUUCGGGAAUAACUUAUAAAUUAAAAUUAAAAAUGACUUAUAAGUUAUAUUAAGUGAGAAUUUAUAAAUAAAAAUGUUUUGACACUCUUUUAAUUUAUAAGUUAAAAAUUAAGUUAAAAUAAAAGCGUGAAGAUAUUUGACUAAAAUGACUUAUAAGUUAAAAUAAGAUGUAAACACUAUUAAAAUAAAGACAAAAUAAUUUUUAUAUUUGGUCAAACUUAUUUUAAAAUAACUUAUAAGUCAUUUUUUAAUAAGUCAAAAUUUGUUACUUAUCAAAAAUGACUUGCAAGUCAAAAAAAACAAGUCAUCUCCAAAUACUAAACAGCAAAAAAAAUCUUAUAAAUUGGUUUGGCUGCCGAACAUGCUCUUAAUACUCCUACCAAAACAACACUAUCAUAUUUUGUUAUAUCAAUCAUGGAACGAGCCUUGAGUUUGUACACAUCACUAGAUAAUCUGAAAAUAUAAAUCAUCUUAUGAUACUUUUUGAUUAGUUAGUUAAUUUUGUACAGUACAUUUUCUUACACAAUAUGCCAAGCACCUCGGCGUAAUUCAGUUAGUACAGGAGGAUAAACCUGAUGCAGGACCAUAAUAAACUUGGUUUUUCUCCUUGGGAGUUCCGAUUAUGAUCCAUUGCUUGAUAUCCAAGCUUCAGUUCAUUCCUUUGUAACAAGGAUCCGCAAAGCUGGACAAGUACAAAAAUCAUACACCACUAACAUGCCUCACCGUCAUUCUUGUUAAACUAAUUUUCAUGGUUGUCUGCAAUCAAAGCAAAAAAAUUCACUAGGUAAAAAGACAUAUUUUUGAUAAAAUCAUUUCAUUAGUAAUAAUUUAGAUGAGUUUAGUUAAAGCUAUCAAUAUGACAAAAAAGGUUAAAUUACCCACCAAGGGGAUGACUCUUUUCCCAGACAUAACCAAGGGGUCACACAACCUAACUUUGUAACAACCAGUCUCACAUCGAAUGAUAUGGAAAAAAUUUGUAUAUAUAUAAAGAAUUAAGUUACUAACAAUAGUACCUUCAGUCAUGACCUUUUGGGUGAGCAUGUGGUGGCUAAGAUUGUGACGCCCCCAAAACAGGUAUACAUCACCCAUCUUGAGUGGCUAAAUACAUGGUACAAAAUUCAAAUACAACUUAAUUAUACAACCCAUCUUGAGUCGUCAAAUACAUGGUACAAAAUUCAAAUACAACUUAAUUAUACAACAGUCGUGUAAAAUACGACAAAACAAAAUCUAAGAGUUUUAAUAAGAAUAUUGUCAUCUAGACAAUAUCCAUACUCAAUAGCCCAGUAAGAAAUAUUAUGACUAAGAUAAUGCAGAAUAAAUUAUCAUUAGCCUUCAACAAUGUUAAACUGAUAGAAUAUAAUAGACAACAAGUUUAACUGCAGCGGAACAAGCAAUCCAUUAGAAGAGUCAAGUAGAGCAUAAAAUCUUCUAUGAUUUAAAAUGUUUUCAUCAAUUUUUAUCGUUGAGACUCAGCUUAAUAAAUAAACCACAUCAUCGAAUCAUCCCUGCACUACGGGCCAAGGAUAUUCAUUAAAUCAUCAAUGGUCAUGACUAUAUAGAAUAAUCCCUGGUCAUAAUCAUACCGAAAACUAUCCAUCAAUGCACUACAGGCCACUGAGGACUUUUACCACAUCAUUUAUAACAUUACAGGUCAUGAUUAUACCGAAUGAUCCAUAGUCAUAAUCAUACCACGUCCAUCUAUGCACGUAAGCCAAAGAUGACUUUCAUCACAAUAUAAGCAUGAGGAUGAUGACAAUGACAUAAUAAUUCAAUAAAACAAGUUCAAGAAUAAAUUUUAAAGAUUUAUAAGUUAAUUUAUCCUGAAAUCAAUUAUGUCCAAAUUGUCAACAUGAUACUGCUUUGUGGAGUAAAAUUCAAGAAUGCUCAGAAGAAUAUUUCCAUGAAAAGAUACUGGAUGAAGCGUAAAUAUCCAAGAUAUUCUACUAAUUUCAUGGAGUAUAGAAGCCAAAACUUUAACCAACUGAGUAUAAUAGAAUAUAUGAAACUGCAAAUGGAUUCGUCCGCCAUGCGGUAAUCCACGUAGACAGAUCAUUUCUACAAUUUAAUAAGGAAUGAAUACGAAGGAUCAUUCACCAUGCAUGCGGUAAUCCACAUAGACAGGUUAUUCCAACAGAAUAAUAAAGAAUGGAAUAACAGAAGAAUUCACCAGGCAUGCGAUAGACCGCACAGACAGGUUAUUCCCACAGAAUAAUAAAGAAUGGAAUAACAGAAGAAUUUCACCAUGUAUGCGGUACUUCGCAUAGACAGGUUAUUCCAACAUAAUAAUAAAGAAUGGAAUAACAACCCUUACGAGUAUUGAAAGAAAAUAACUCUCUUCAUGAAUACGAAAGAAUAAUACCCCUUACCUUAGAAGAAACUGGAUAUUGGAAUAGUGAGGUAGCAGACUUCUCUUCUUCUUUCUCUCUAUAAUUUCUCUCUAUAAUAAUUGCUCUAUAGCUUUAGUGAAUUGGUGAGAAAUGAAGGAAGAAUGAGCUUCUAUUUAUAGGAAAAUAUAGUUUCGAUAAUUGCACGUUUUGGGGCUCGAAAUAUUACAGUAUAAUACCUUCCUCUUUUUCUUCAUUUUUAAUUUAGUCCUGCAAGUAUUAUCAAACUUGCACCACCUCCCCUAAUAGUAAAUAAUGUGAAUCAAUAGUUCAAUCAUGUGAAUCAAUAGUUAUAAUCAUGUGAAAAUACGAAUUACAGUAUAGUACCUCCAUCUAUACCUCCAUUUUUAACUUAGUCAUGCAAGUAUUAUCAAUCUUGCACCAACUCCCCUAAUAGUACAAGAAUGUGAAUCAAUAGUACACACAUGUGAACAAAUAGUUAUAAUCAUGUGAAUUAAUAGCAAUUAAUUGCUCAUUUAUCCGAUUAAUUACCCGAUUGGUCAAUAUAACCUCCAGACAUCAAUUAUUAUCGAAAUAAAUGUCGAUUUUCACUAACACUAAUAAUUCCAACACAAUGGAACUAUCAAUUUCAUCUUUAAUCAACACGAACUUAUUCAUCAUUAAUAUUAUAACUCACAAUAUUUAACAACCAGGUCGUUCCCAGGAAAGAGGGGGCUUUCCGAUAAGGAUUUCUCCUUAUUGGCGCGCAAUUAGGUGACCAAACCUCUCCUUGACAGAACUUCUAGACAUUGUCAAUAUUGCAAAUAAUAAUAUGAAUAACUUUGUCGUCUCAAUUAUUGAUUUAAUAAUAUAACAUAUUAUGCAGAUGAUACUGUGACAAUAAUUGAAUCAAUAAUAUGAGAGAUAUGAUGCAGCAAUUACUGUAGCAAUAAUUGAGUAUAACUGAGUGACUUCUCACGUAAAUAUCAAUAAUCAAUACCGUGCGCUACUAUGCAACCACGCGUAUUACUGUACUUUUACUACCGGGUAGUUCAACCGUUUUAACGAUAACACUUUCGCCGUUAUUUUUAUAAAAAGAUAAUUCUGUCGUUUUCUUACUACGACAAUACUUUUAUUGUGGGGUCCACCAAUGAUUGUGCCGUCGUACGAAUAUUCCCUGUUAAAACGAAUAUUCCCCGACCAAUCGAAUAUUAUAUAACCACUAGCUUACUUUGCAAAAUUUGUAAAUAUUACCCACAACUAUAACAUUAUAUCAAAUUCACACCAUAAUAUUCAAAAUUUUUUUUUGAGAAAUUUAAAUCUUUAUUCAUAAAAUCUGGGGUCUCACAGCAUAUAUGGUGAAAUUCUUCUAUUAUUCCAUUCUUUACUAUUCUGUUAGAAUAACCUGUCUGUGCGGUCUAUCGCAUGCUGGUGAAUUCUGUUGUUAUUCCAUUCUUUAUUAUUCUGUUGGAAUAUCCUGUCUGUGCGGAUUACGCAUGACCUGAUUCCAUUCUUUAUUAUUCUGUUGGNNNNNNNNNNNNNNNNNNNNNNNNNNNNNNNNNNNNNNNNNNNNNNNNNNNNNNNNNNNNNNNNNNNNNNNNNNNNNNNNNNNNNNNNNNNNNNNNNNNNNNNNNNNNNNNNNNNNNNNNNNNNNNNNNNNNNNNNNNNNNNNNNNNNNNNNNNNNNNNNNNNNNNNNNNNNNNNNNNNNNNNNNNNNNNNNNNNNNNNNNNNNNNNNNNNNNNNNNNNNNNNNNNNNNNNNNNNNNNNNNNNNNNGGUGAAAAUCCAUUUGCAGUUUCGUAUAUUCUAUUAUACUCAUCUGGGAUAUCAUUUCUUUUGUACUGGUCAUGAAAUAUCGUUUUCUUUGGUAUUUUUUUGUUACGAGUUACUAUUCAUGGGUUACUAUUCACCCGGUUACUAUUCACUCUAGUAUUAUUCACUCGGGUAUUCGGGGUACUUUUCGUGCCGGAGUAUUAUUCACGAGUUACUAUUCACGGGUUACUAUUCACUCUAGUAUUAUUCACUCGGGUAUUCGGGGUACUUUUCGUGCCGGAGUAUUAUUCACGAGUUACUAUUCACGGGUUACUAUUCACUCUAGUAUCAUUCACUCGGGUAUUCGGGACAGUUUUCGUGUCGGGGUACUAUUCACGGGGUACUAUUCCCGAAGUACUAUUCACGGGGUACUAUUUACCCGAAAAAUAUAUUCUUUUCUGUCCAAAUUACUUUGGGUACAUGAAUAUUAUUCUUGAAUUUUACUCUACAAAGUAGUAUCAUGUUGACAAUUUGGAUAUUUUUAAACUCUGGAUAAAUUUAAAGUCUUUNNNNNNNNNNNNNNNNNNNNNNNNNNNNNNNNNNNNNNNNNNNNNNNNNNNNNNNNNNNNNNNNNNNNNNNNNNNNNNNNNNNNNNNNNNNNNNNNNNNNAUUAUUGACAAUGUCUAGAAAGUUCUGUCGAGGAAAGGGGUUAGGUAAUCUAAUUGCACGCCAAUAAGGAGAAGUCCUUAUCGGAAAGCCCCCUCUUUCCUGGGAAUGAUCUGGUUGUCAAUAUUGUGAGUUAUAAUAUUAAUGAUGAAUAAUUGUUGAAAGAUUAAAAAAAAAUGUGUUGAUUGAAGAUAAAAUGAUUUGUGGUAAGUAUUUAUUCAAUCUUUGAUAUAAAUAAGAAGUCUGUUAUGAGACAUUUGUUGUAAGUUUGGUUUAUUCUAUGGGGCCCAUAUGUCAUCAUCUAAGAGUCACUUUCGCCAAUAGUACUUGUCUUUACCAGACGUCGAACCACUUGUCAUUUCACAUUACAGGCGUUGAACCACUUGUUGUUUCACAUUACAGGCGUCGAACCACUUAUUGCUUCACAUGAUAGGCGUCGAACCACUUGUUAUUUCAUAUGACAGGCAUCGAACCACUUGUUCUUUCACAUUACAGGCGUCAAACCACUUGUUGUGUCACAUUACAGGCGUCAAACCACUUUUCUUUUCACAUCACCAAUCGUCAAGCCACUUGCCUCUUUACAUCGCAAGGGCUAAACUAGAAAUCUUUUAUAAAUAGAAGCUUAUUUCUUCUUUCAUUCUCACCAAUUAACUACGACUCAUAAGAGAAUUCUAUAGAGAGAGAAUCAAAGAGAAAGAAUAAGAGUAUUCGGUUACUACACUAUUGCAGUAUCCAAUCUCCUACUAAGGUAAGGGGUAUUAUUUCUUUCGUAUUCGUAAGGGAUAUUAUUUUGUUCAAUAUUCGUAAGAAGUAAUAUUUUCUUCCAUACUCUGUAGUAUGUAAGUAAUAUUAUUUCGUUUCAGAUUUUGAAUUCUACACUCAUUUUGUUAAGUUUUGGCUUCUAUACUCCAUGAAAUUAGUAGAAUAUCCUUGAUAUUUGCGCAUCAUCUAGUAUCUUUUCAUGGAAAUAUUAUUCUGAGCAUUCUUGAUAAGUUUUAACCUUUUUAUGCAGGAGUACUAUUCACGGAGUACUAUUCAUGGGGUACUAUUCACCCGACGUACUAUUCAUGAUAAAAAUUAAUUUCUUUUUGAUCUAAAUCAUUUUUGUUAUAAUAUUAUUCUUGAAUUUUACUCCACAAAGCAGUAUCAUGUUGACGGUUUGGACAUUAUUGAAUUCUGGAUAAAUUGAAUUAUAAAUCUUUAAAAUUUAUCCUUUGCUUUCAUUUAAUUAAAUUCUUAUAGCAUUGUCAUCAUCCUCAUGUUUAUAUUGUUAUGAAAGUCAUCUUUGGCCCGUAGUGCAUAGAUGAACUGUUGAUUGGUAUGAUUAUGAUCAGGGAUCAUUCGGUAUAAUCAUGACCCGUAAUGUUACUAAUGAUGUGGUACAAGUCCUCAUUGGCCUGUAGUGCAUUGAUGGACAGUUGUUAGUACGAUCAUGACCAUUGGUGAUAAUAAUGAAUAUCCUUGGCCCGUAGUGCAUGGAUAAUUCAGUGAUGUGGAUUAUUUAUUAAGCUGAGUCUCAGCGAUAAAAUUGGUGAUAACUAUUAAAUCAUAAAAGAUAGUAGAUAUCAUGCUCUACUUGACUAUUCUAAUGGAUUGUUUGUUCCGCUGCAGUUAAACUUGUUGUCUAUUAUAUUCUAUCAGUUUAACACUGUUGAAAGCUAACGAUAAUUUAUUCUGCAUUAUCUUAGUCAUAAUAUUUCUUACUGGGCUAGUUGAGCUCACCCUUUUGCUUUCAUUAUUCUCUUCAGGAAAUGAGAACGUGGCCGGGACUAGUUAGGGAACGGAAUGAUGGUCCAAGAUGGUGGCUGUAGUAGUCCUCACUAUUUUAUAAAAUAGUGUGAUAAUAAUUGUAAUGAGGACUUCAUUUUAGUUUGAAUACUGUCUACUAGACAAUAUUCGUGUAAAAACUCUUAGCUACGCUUUUGUCAUAUUAUAUAAGAAAGUUUGUAUUUGAAUUGUGUACCAUAUAUUUGGCGACUCAGAAUGAGUGAUGUAUACCUAUUUUGGGGGCGUCACAAUAUGACUAGUCUAAACGGUCCACGUGUGGCCUAGAAAAUGGUAAAUCUUCCUACCUACAAUUGAUUAAACUUAUAUUAUAAAUAAGUAAAUAACUGCCUAAGUUGUAAAAAGUGUGAAGUUCAAUAGAUAUUCAAGACUGUGUGUGUACAUAUUUAGCUAUGGACUAUUUAGAUGGUGCAGAUGAUAAUAUACCAGUAUCUUGCAAACAGCCAAUCUAGUAUUCUAAUGUCACUGAAAAGAUUAGAACAUUAGAUGGUCAUACAUUGUCUCUCGUGUAUACAAUCACUCGUAUUUCUGAUAGGUGAUAAAUAAUAAAACACUCGUUGAUGAACAACUUAAAUGGGUUCCAACAAUAUUUCAAAUGAAUCAAAUACAUGUAUAAGAACAAGUUUAAUGCGCUUCAGUAGGGCUGCAUUAUAAUUAGUGCCUCAUUUUGACUACAUUUUCACUUAUUCAUGAUCAGGUGAACUCCUCAGCUUCCCUAGAUUUUUUUUCUCACUUUUACCAAUACAAUUUCCUUUUCUACACAAGAAAUUAUUGUUUUAAUUAAUGAAGUCUCUAAAUUUAUUCUCUAUAUGCACACAACCUUAAAGUCCAUUCAGGCUUUUAUAGUAUGUUUAACUGCACACAAAAGCAUAGCAAUGCCCUAUUUCUUAUUUGAAAUUUUUAUGCCUAAUACAGCAGUUACAUGUAACAAGCAGCACACCAUGUCUACAUCUAAGCAUAAUAGUCAACAACAAUAAAACACGAGCUUCAACGCAUGGACCAUAACCCAAAAAAACAUUUUAUAAUUAUUAUCUUUAUUGAAGACAGCCUAAAGGAUGGACUCACACACUUAUAAAUGACAGAAAGAAUAUAAGAAAAGCAAAUCUCAUACAAACAAUUGACAAGUUAUGUUAAAUGGUAUAGUGUUUAUAUUCAUCUCACUUGUAAGAAUCACCAAAGUCCUUAACGCCGGUAUUAUACUUUCUUAGCCUUCAAAAUACAAUGGUGUAAGACUAACUUUGUACAGGUUUCUCGUUCUAUCUCCUUGACUGACAUCCCAUUAACAAGGUUUACAGCCCUUUUUAUCUCACCCCAACGAAAGUAGACACUUAUUAGAACAGUGUAAGUUACAUUAUCUGGUUCCAGACCUUUAUCAAUCAUUUCACCAAGGAGGCAAAUUUCCUCUUGAAGAUUGUUUGAGUUGCAAUGAUUAUCGAUCAAAGUAGUGUAACAUUUAACAUCAGGAUUUAAUCCCAUCUCCUCCAUUUCUCUCCAAAAAGUCAAAGCACCAUCAGUUUCUCCCUUGUAU